UACGGAGGUUGCAAGCGUUGUUCGGAAUGACUGGGCGUAAAGGGAGCGCAGGCGGCCAAGUCAGUCUGAAGUGAAAGCCCGGGGCUCAACCCCGGAAUUGCUUUGGAUACUGCCUGGCUUGAGUAUGCGAGAGGAAAGCGGAAUUCCAGGUGUAGCGGUGAAAUGCGUAGAUAUCUGGAGGAACACCGGUGGCGAAAGCGGCUUUCUGGCGCAUAACUGACGCUGAGGCUCGAAAGCGUGGGGAGCGAACGGGAUUAGAUACCCGGGUA
rnacentral:rRNA from 1 species